rnacentral:rRNA from 1 species
AGCUCCAAUAGCGUAUAUUAAAGUUGUUGUGGUUAAAAAGCUCGUAGUUGGAUCUCAACAGCCUUGAAGCGGUUAACUUUGUAGUUUUACUGCUUUGUAGGCUGUGCUUUUGCUGGAGGUUUAGGGGUGCUCUUGAUCGAGUGUCUCUGGAUGCCAGCAGGUUUACUUUGAAAAAAUUAGAGUGCUCAAAGCAGGCUAAAAUGCCUGAAUAUUCGUGCAUGGAAUAAUAGAAUAGGAAGAAGAGGGAAGAGGAGAGGGAGGGGGGAGUGGACAGAAUGAUAAAUAGGGACAGUCGGGGGCAUUUGUAUUCAAACGACAGAGGUGAAAUUCUUGGACCGUUUGAAGACAAACUGCUGCGAAAGCAUUUGCCAAGAAUGUUUUCA